CAAACGUCCUGGCUCGUUACAAAUACCAUAUAUAUAAAUUUACAUUUUUUUUUUUUUUUUUUUGUAGUUUAAAUAUUUAAUAAAACUUCGAUUCAGAAUCCGCGAUUGCAGUGCGCAGUGUGUAAACGCGAAAUUGAAAACAAACAAAUACCUCGACAAUUUCCGACGUUACGCGCGAGUUAUAUGAAUUGCAGUUUGACAUUUCACGUGGUUUUUUUUUUUUUUUAUCGUAUAUACAGAGCAAUAAAAAGCUUAGAAAAAUACUUGAAAUGCCACUGUACAAAACUAUUCGCGGGAUAAGUCGUUUUAUCGUCUUCUUCUCACACACACAUAUUUCGCGAAAGAAUUAUCAAGCGCACAACAACGAAAAGGCGAUAUUAUAUCAUAUGAAAAAUAUUACGCGUUAUUCAAUUUUUUUUCUUUUUUUCUAAACCGGACUUAUUCCAUCGCAACAUAUUUCCAAAAACGUUUUCCGUAAGUAUUGUUUAAUACAUUUUUCAUAAUAAUAACAGUACUUUAUUAAUCGUUCGUAGGAAUUGAGAUUCUGAGCGAAUCAAGGAAUAUAUUAGUUUUCCUAUGCGUUUUUUUUCUGCACGCAAAGACAACUUUCCAAUCCAGAAAUCGUGCUCGGGUCAUCAGCUCCUGGUUUCUGGUUGUAAAUGUUUGCCAAUUGUGUUGCGCUGGGUACGCAUUAUUUUUAUUUUCCUUGUGGUUCUCUUAAUAAUGGGGAACACCCCGGCGGUUAUUUUUUCAGAUUUUCCGUAAUGUCGAUAAACACGUGUUUGUUGUUUUUAAAACAGAUGUACGUAAUACUAUACAGAACGAUGACGGAAAUUAAAAAUAUCAACGCCAGAAUUUAUUUUAAUGUCUAUUUACGGAAUUUCGAAUGCGGGUUCCUAUUUAAAAAUCGAAAGUGACAGUGGUUUCGUCCCAAAACAAUAAGGCUAACAGAAAUAAAAUAACAGUAAUGUAACGUUUUUGUGCUAUUUGUUUUAUAAUCAUACAUGUAAAUUGUACCACCACUGGUUAUUAAUGAAUUUAAAAAUUUAAUUGCAGGAAGUCGUAGAAGAAUAUAAUAAAAUAUAAAGUAUACAUUAGGUAUUAAAGUAUACCUAUUAUAUGUACAGUAUUUUUUAUUAUCAUUACUUUUUUUUUUUUAUCAGACUACAAGAUAGUUAAAGCACACCUAAUUGCAGAAUGCAUUAUAUUAACUGUAUAUGCA